rnacentral:lncRNA from 1 species
CCCUCUCCCAGCCCACUCGCAUGGCAGGCAUGUGUUUGUUUAAUCAUUAAUAAUUCUUGUCACCCUUUGACUACCUUUUCCUUGGGAAAAAGAUGGCAGUGCAGCAGGCAGGCGUUGGCAUUUAAGAAUGCGGACGGUGGUGUGCUAUGUACUCCUCCAAGCGCACAUGGAAAGGAUCUCCUUUCUAAAAGAACAGCAACAAAAACAAUAACAACAACAAAUAAAGGGGACACGAGCAUAUCAUCUUAUGAUCAUACGGAGGCUUUUGCCACUUUUGCUUUCUUCCUCUAAAUGAUGUACCAAAUUGGGUCC